rnacentral:rRNA from 1 species
GAUGAACGCUGGCGGCGUGCCUAAUACAUGCAAGUCGAGCGAACGGACGAGAAGCUUGCUUCUCUGAUGUUAGCGGCGGAGGGGAGAGUCACACGUGGAUAACCUACCUAUACGACUGGGAUAACUUCGGGAAACCGGAGCUACUACCGGAUAAUAUUUCGCACCGCAUGGUUCCAACGUGAAAGACGGUCUUGCUGUCACUUAUAGAUGGAUCCGAGCUGCAUUAGCUAGUUGGUAAGGUAACGGCUUACCAAGGCAACGAUGCAUAGCCGACCUGAGAGGGUGAGCGGCCACACUGGAACGGAGACACGGUCCAGACUCCUACGGGAGGCAGCAGUAGGGAAUCUUCCGCAAUGGGCGAAAGCCGGACGGAGCAACGCCGCGUGAGUGAUGAAGGUCUUCGGAUCGUAAAACUCUGUUAUUAGGGAAGAACAUAUGUGUAAGUAACUGUGCACAUCUUGACGGUACCUAAUCAGAAAGCCACGGCUAACUACGUG